AUUGAACGCUGGCGGAAUGCUUUACACAUGCAAGUCGAACGGCAGCACGGACUUCGGUCUGGUGGCGAGUGGCGAACGGGUGAGUAAUGUAUCGGAACGUGCCCAGUCGUGGGGGAUAACGUAGUGAAAAUUACGCUAAUACCGCAUACGAGCUAUGGAUGAAAGCGGGGGAUCGCACGACCUCGCGCGAUUGGAGCGGCCGAGAUCAGAUUAGGUAGUUGGUGGGGUAAAGGCCCACCAAGGCAACGAUCUGUAGCUGGUCUGAGAGGACGACCAGCCACACUGGAACUGAGACACGGUCCAGACUCCUACGGGAGGCAGCAGUGGGGAAUUUUGGACAAUGGGCGAAAGCCUGAUCCAGCCAUUCCGCGUGCAGGAUGAAGGCCCUCGGGUUGUAAACUGCUUUUGUACAGAACGAAAAGGUUUCUACUAAUACUAGGAGCUCAUGACGGUACUGUAAGAAUAAGCACCGGCUAACUACGUGCCAGCCGCCGCCGUAA
rnacentral:rRNA from 1 species